GUAGGGUGCAGGCGUUAAUCGGAAUUACUGGGCGUAAAGCGUGCGCAGGCGGCUCCUUAAGUCAGAUGUGAAAGCCCCGGGCUUAACCUGGGAACUGCGUUUGAAACUGGGGGGCUAGAGUGUGGAAGAGGGGGGUGGAAUUCCAUGUGUAGCAGUGAAAUGCGUAGAGAUAUGGAGGAACACCGAUGGCGAAGGCAGCCCCCUGGGCUAACACUGACGCUCAUGCACGAAAGCGUGGGGAGCAAACAGGAUUAGAUACCCUGGUAGUCCACGCCCUAAACGAUGUCAACUGGUUGUCGGGGAAGUAAUUCCUUGGUAACGAAGCUAACGCGUGAAGUUGACCGCCUGGGGAGUACGGCCGCAAGGCUUAA
rnacentral:rRNA from 1 species